rnacentral:rRNA from 1 species
GCGGCCUACACAUGCAAGUCGAACGAAGUCUUCGGACUUAGUGGCGGACGGGUGAGUAACACGUGGGAACGUGCCUUUAGGUUCGGAAUAACUCAGGGAAACUUGUGCUAAUACCGAAUGUGCCCUUCGGGGGAAAGAUUUAUCGCCUUUAGAGCGGCCCGCGUCUGAUUAGCUAGUUGGUGAGGUAAAGGCUCACCAAGGCUACGAUCAGUAGCUGGUCUGAGAGGAUGACCAGCCACAUUGGGACUGAGACACGGCCCAAACUCCUACGGGAGGCAGCAGUGGGGAAUCUUGCGCAAUGGGCGAAAGCCUGACGCAGCCAUGCCGCGUGGAUGAUGAAGGUCUUAGGAUUGUAAAAUCCUUUCACCGGUGAAGAUAAUGACUGUAGCCGGAGAAGAAGCCCCGGCUAACUUCGUGCCAGCAGCCGCGGUAAUACGAAGGGGGCUAGCGUUGCUCGGAAUUACUGGGCGUAAAGGGAGCGUAGGCGGACAUUUAAGUCAGGGGUGAAAUCCCGAGGCUCAACCUCGGAACUGCCUUUGAUACUGGGUGUCUUGAGUGUGAGAGAGGUAUGUGGAACUCCGAGUGUAGAGGUGAAAUUCGUAGAUAUUCGGAAGAACACCAGUGGCGAAGGCGACAUACUGGCUCAUUACUGACGCUGAGGCUCGAAAGCGUGGGGGGCAAACAGGAUUAGAUACCCUGGUAGUCCACGCCGUAAACGAUGAUUGCUAGUUGUCGGGAAGCUUGCUUUUCGGUGACGCAGCUAACGCAUUAAGCAAUCCGCCUGGGGAGUACGGUCGCAAGAUUAAAACUCAAAGGAAUUGACGGGGGCCUGCACAAGCGGUGGAGCAUGUGGUUUAAUUCGAAGCAACGCGCAGAACCUUACCACCUUUUGACAUGCCCG